CAUUUUAGGUAUGUGUGUGUGAAACAUCAGAACUGAAUAAUGGACCAGAGAAUUCAGAGAUCUUUGGUUACCUGUUUCCGGUUUCGUCGGUUCACACUUCACAUUGCUGCGUUCCUGACCUAGCUUCGCCUGCAUCAGUAGAUCAUAUUAUAAUAUGCAUUAUAGACUAUAGUUAUACAGCUUGAAUUUGAAAGAGCUACAUGGUUGUUGUUUCGAGUGCUUUUUCAUCUGCUGUGAUGAAUUGGCAGACAGCAUCAACGGUUACCAACAUAAUAGGUGCAUUGCAAGUUGUGCAAUGCUGAAUGCAUACGUUUCGUCAGUGACUUCCUUCUGCCUCAUUGAUGCGAAACUGAUAAUAAACAUGCAAGAGAAUACAGCUAUAGUUACUCUGGACUGCCAUGAUAGAAACAUUGAAACAGAUAUUGACUGGCUUUAGGUAUGUGAGACGUUUUUAUUGGUGUUGCAAACGAUGUAACGAUCACUAAAUUCUGUGCCUAUGUGAGAUUUGUUGGUUCAUCGAAUAACAUCAAAGUUACAGUUGUUACUCUACGUUUCCCUCAUUAAUUACUCUUCCACUCAAACUUCUCUGGGAUUGGUGGAAAAAGAAGAGAAAACUUCGACUGAAAUACGAUAAGGAAGGUAAACGGUCAAGCAAAGUGUGCAAGGUCGUUGAUGGAGUAUUCUAUGUGAAAUCCUCUCACCGGUCUGAGCCCCACCAACUGAACAUCAGAGGACCAACUUGCACCUGCAGACAUAUUUUUCAAGCUAUUGAUGAUGGUUUAAUGAAAUGCAAUGGGAGGACCUACCUGAAGAUUACAGAAACAUACUGUUCUUCGUAAAAGAUAAAGGAAGUGAUAUUGGGAUAUGGCCAGCUGAUGCAGAUGUAAACAAAUGCUGCGAUUAUCCAGCAUCAGAAGACGAGGAUGAAGAAGUAGAAGAUGAUGAGGUUGGAGGAAAUGAGGAUAAAAGAAAGAAGAAACGGGACAUAGACUAUAAAGGAGAUUGGCGGGAGCUUUCAAACAGAAUAACUUCCUUCGUUAAUGAUCCUGAGUUUGACGUGAUGGACGAUGAUGUCCGUGCAUUAUUAUAUAAGAAACUGUCAGAUACCGUCAAUGAUGUGGCAUCCUAUAUUUACAAAAGAAACUAAAUUAGAUAACAUAGAUAAGAUAAUGUUUGAUAAUAUAUUACUUUAAAAGCCGUGCAAUCAUUUUAGAUAUUAGAUAUUAAACUAACCAUAUUAUGAUAUUCUCCGUCUAACUAUUCGAUCUGUCUCCAUCUCACUAUUCAAUCUGUCUCAAUGUUCAUUCUCUGUCUCGACGUUCAUUCUCCGUCUCACUAUUCAAUCUGUCUCAAUGUUCAUUCUCUGUCUCGACGUUCAUUCUCCGUCUCACUAUUCAAUCUGUCUCAAUGUUCAUUCUCUGUCUCGACGUUCAUUCUCCGUCUCACUAUUCAAUCUGUCUCGACGUUCAUUAUUUGUUUAACUAUUCAAUCUCUUUCUCAGUGAUCAUUCUUUGUUUAACUAUUAAAUCACUGUUCAUUCCUGUCUCGACGUUAAUUCUCCGUCUCAUUAUUCAAUCUCUGCAUCAGUGUUCAUUCUCUAUUUUAGAGUCAAUUCCCUGUCUUACCUAUCAAUCUUUCUCGGUGUUCAUUCCCUGUCUGACUGUUCAAUUUCUGUCUCACUGUCCAUUCUCUGUCUCGCUGUUCAAUCUUCGUGUUUCUUUCAAAGUGUUACAGUGACAAGGAGACCGAAUGAUAUUGUUGUAAAAUAAAAAGCUUGUCCG